GAUGAACGCUGGCGGCGUGCCUAAUACAUGCAAGUCGAGCGAACGGACGAGAAGCUUGCUUCUCUGAUGUUAGCGGCGGACGGGUGAGUAACACGUGGAUAACCUACCUAUAAGACUGGGAUAACUUCGGGAAACCGGAGCUAAUACCGGAUAAUAUUUUGAACCGCAUGGUUCAAAAGUGAAAGACGGUCUUGCUGUCACUUAUAGAUGGAUCCGCGCUGCAUUAGCUAGUUGGUAAGGUAACGGCUUACCAAGGCAACGAUGCAUAGCCGACCUGAGAGGGUGAUCGGCCACACUGGAACUGAGACACGGUCCAGACUCCUACGGGAGGCAGCAGUAGGGAAUCUUCCGCCAUGGGCGAAAGCCUGACGGAGCAACGCCGCGUGAGUGAUGAAGGUCUUCGGAUCGUAAAACUCUGUUAUUAGGGAAGAACAUAUGUGUAAGUAACUGUGCACAUCUUGACGGUACCUAAUCAGAAAGCCACGGCUAACUACGUG
rnacentral:rRNA from 1 species